GACGAACGCUGGCGGCGUGCUUAACACAUGCAAGUCGAACGGAAAGGCCCUGCUUUUUUGGGGUGCUCGAGUGGCGAACGGGUGAGUAACACGUGAGUAACCUGCCCUUGACUUUGGGAUAACUUCAGGAAACUGGGGCUAAUACCGGAUAGGAGCUCCUGCUGCAUGGUGGGGGUUGGAAAGUUUCGGCGGUUGGGUAUGGACUCGCGGCUUAUCAGCUUGUUGGUGGGGUAGUGGCUUACCAAGGCUUUGACGGGUAGCCGGCCUGAGAGGGUGACCGGCCACAUUGGGACUGAGAUACGGCCCAGACUCCUACGGGAGGCAGCAGUGGGGAAUAUUGCACAAUGGGCGGAAGCCUGAUGCAGCAACGCCGCGUGCGGGAUGACGGCCUUCGGGUUGUAAACCGCUUUCGCCUGUGACGAAGCGUGAGUGACGGUAAUGGGUAAAGAAGCACCGGCUAACUACGUG
rnacentral:rRNA from 1 species